AUCCGAGUCCUUCUCUUAUUUUUGGAAGGGGAUUGGGAGGGGGUGAGCGCCGAGGCCCACAGAAGUUUAGCGACUUCUUGUGUUUCUUACCACCUCGGUAGAUGGGGGACAGGGAGACAAUUUGGAACUCAAGAAACUUAAAAAUCAUUGUAAAAAAAAAUUUUUUUUUAAAGUUUAAUGACCCGCCUAAGGUCCAGUUUUCUCCCCGUUAUACCGAGAGUCCCUUUAAGGCAGAGAUUGGCUCAUAGUAUCUUUGUAUUUCUUGGUAUCACUUAAUAAAUGGUCGUUGACUGAAACAAGUAGUGGCAGAUCUGGAAAUUCAAACUUAUUAUUACAGUGCCUUCUAGGAGUUAAUGAAUGAAAAGGCAUUCAUUAAGGCUUACUUUGGGGGCAAGCAUUGUGCUGAGAUUUGGAGACACAAAUAUAAAAGUGAAGGCUGAACCUGAACCCAAAGAGUUUACAUUUUAAUAGGGCAUAGGGGGAAGUACAGGGGAGAGCGAUUUUUUUUGGAAAAGUUACUAGGAUUAUAAGUGGAAUUAUUAAGGGCUUAGAGUGGCACACACUUUUUAGAAGCAAUGGCAGUAGCCCUGACUUCUGGUCUUGCCCCUGAAGCAUCACUACAGGCAGGACACUUGUCAGUGCUAUGGGCAAACUCUGUGGUACAGAAAAGAUCCCAGAAUUUACUUAAUUUCUUUAGUCUGUACUAAUGAAAUCACAAUCCAGUCUCUAUCCAGAACUGAAGAGUAAGGAACCUGGUUUGGGAGGAACAUCCCAAGAGGAUUGGGACUCAUCUGAAAUAGUGAGCCAGGGGACAUAUUGAUAGUCAUUAGGGAAUGGGGGACAGUGAAGGUAGAGAGAGGAAGAGUGGGUGAAUUCUGAAAGGGUUUUAAUCUUCAGGGCAUAGCCUGUGGUCCAUGUGGCUAGGCAGCUGGCAGGGAAGUGGCUCAAGAUAGGGAGAAAACAUCUAGUUUACUUGCUUCUUUGUUGAACACCUUCAUUUUUCUCUCAUAGGAUCAUCUAGUCCAAUCCAUUUAUUUUACAGAAGAAGAAACUGAGGCCCACAAGUGAAGUAGCUUGCUUAAAUCAUACAGGUAACGAUAGGAAAGUAUUCUACUCCCUGGACCCUCUUCAUAGACUUUCAGAAUUUCUCUUUUGUUUCCUAACAGCCCCUUCCAAGAUGCAAGGUUAUUCUUUCAUCAAACAUUUAUUCAGCAGCAACUAGAAGUACAACAAACAUUACAGAGUCAGCAGAUAAUGUAUUAAGGUUGAUGAAGUCAAGAAGCCUGACCAACAGUUUUUGCAAAGGCCUGGAGCAUGAGCUUUGCAAAGCAGGGUCUGCGCGGGACCUGGGCUCACACAUGGAAUGGAAAAGAAAGAUCCCAGACUCGGGGAAAGGGAUAAAAGGUGGAACCUGAGGACCAGGGGCGUCUGCUGACUGUCGGACACCAGGAGAGCAGGGACUGACUUCCUGUGGCCAUCUUGUGAAGGCUAGAGGGAGUUAACUGCCUUUCCCGACCAAACCUUGGAGGUUCCUGUCAUGGAGCUUGUCACGAGAGGUUUUCCAUUCCUGACCCAGAGGUCAUUACCUGUGGAUUCUGUGAGCUGAGCCAUUCUUGUACGCUCCUGAAUUCUGUGUGUGAGCUGUGGAGGCCCAGUGAAUCUACAAGAGAAGAACCCUACCCUCUUGGGAAGGCCUCAGGCCUCCAGGGGGUGAACUCAACUUGAUAUUGCCAUCUUAUCCUGACGAACUGUUUACUUGUCAGUACUUGUGAGUGGACCACUUAGAACACGAUUUAGUUAGCUAGAUUUUACUAAGGGAGCUGAGAGAGUAGAGGGAGUAGCCAUCAUCCUCUAUGAAGGCAGUCCUUGAGGACGCGGGCUGGAUUUGGGGGGAGAACUGAGAUGAUAAGAUUGAGGGACCCCUGAACCCUGGUCCACUGACCUGAGAUCUGAGUAUUGUAAUAAAACAACUGCUUCAUCACUCUCUGUGAAGCAGUCAGAUUGUACUGUACCAUCAAAGACAGGUUAGGCCUACCUGUGGCCACCAUCUUAACUCCAACCAGCUGAACCAUCACUGGGUUCCUAGGAAGUUACUAACCUACUUCAGCUCCGUACACUAAUUAGGUCAUCGAUCACCUAAAUAUUUCAAAGUGCAGAAUAAAGACUUAUUUGGAAAAUUGUGUGUGUGUGUGGCGGGGGAGAGCUUUCUUUGGGCUAGACUCACAAGGUAAAGGCCCAAUAGCAUUGGGCUCUGUGAGAACAUGGGCUAUUUCUGUUGUCUUAGUCCUGCACCUAGCACAGUGCCUUGUACAAAGAAAAUGCUUAAUUAUUAUUGGAUUGGACUGAAUCAGAUUGAAAAGGUGUCUGGGAAUAACUGAGAGGAAGGAGCAAAGAUGCAAGAAAACCUCUGGGGAUGCUAUACUUGUCUUAGAAAAUAUCUUCCCUACAUAAAAACAGCAACCCACAAGUAUUUAAUGAAUGCCUACCAAUCCUUCAGUCAAUGUUGCUGUCAAGGUUCUAAGGAUACGAAAUACAUUAAUGAGACCGCGUGUAUUAGAAGGGGUAUAAAGGCCAUUUUCCAGUAUAUGGAUGAGGCGGUGGGCUGGCAAGUAGUGAGAAUGAGGGAAAGCAGAGAGAACAGGAAUAGCCACCGGUGCUGCCAGGGGGCCAAAGGGAUUUGAAAGAGGAAGGCCUCCCUCACACUGAAUAUAUCUCCUUGGGAAACUUGGACAAGUCACCUAUCAUCCAGAGUAGAGGAGUUGUGAUCUGUGUUGAUAGAGGGAGCCUCCUCGUCAAAGAAAAUAGAGAUGUUGCAAAAUAAGGGAAUCAAGAAUGGAUCACACUAAUCAGGAGUUGAUUUAGUCUCUGAGUCAGAAUGGAUUUUAGAAUAUAGAUUGUCUAUGCCUACUAGAAUUGGGCACUCUAUGGGUG